CACUGAUUCAGAGGCUUUGCCAGGAGAGGCCUUGGAUAUGGAGUCUGGCGCCCCUUCACCAAAUGCGUGCUCAAGCACUGGCCCUGAGGCCAGCGGGAUUUGUGUGAACCCUUUCAAGAGGUUCCUGAAGUUCGAGAAUCCCUUCACGCCUGCGGAGGAGUCCAGGCCUCAAGGAGAGAGGGCUGUGUUUCACAGAGCCCGAGGGCUCUUCAGAAGAGAUCUCACAUUUAAAAACUCCGUUGGUGCAGGCGGGAUAGAGGGAAGCUAACCAGGCAGAUUUCAGCCAUCCGUUUCCGGUCCAAUGCUACUUCUACCUGACCGUCUAUCGAAUAUUUGAAGACAGCUAUCACAUAUCAAUAGGCUUUUCCUCUCAAGCUAAUCAUCCCACAUUUCCUAUCUAUCCCUCAGAAGAUACGAUAGUGGGUCCCUUCGUCAUUCCGACCUGUUUCCACAGCAUGCUCCACGUGACCCAUCUCCUUCGCGUGGCUGUACCUGAGCAAACCUCUAGACAGGCGAGUUGCAAAGGCAGGACUUGGGAUCUGUCUCAAUCGUCUCAGUACUUCCUGUUCCCCCAAGUUAUCAUAACGUGAGCCCACGGACGGAGAUAUAACCACAUGUGGCCAUUGACUCUUCUCCCAUGCGAACACCCCGGGACCCAAACACAGUGAAUCCGUUUAAGGCAGGAUACUAAAGUGGUUAAAUGGGGGCUAUGGCAGGUCUGCUUCUAUAGCCUGUUUCUUCUGCGUAUUAGCUGGGUGACUUUGGGGAAAUCGUUUGAUCUCUGAAAUUCUAUUUUCUCGUCUGUAACAUGAAUAAAAUCACAGUCCUUAUUUCAUAAAUUGUGCAUUAAUUAAAUGAGGUCAUGCAUGCAAA